CCUACGGGAGGCAGCAGUGAGGAAUAUUGGUCAAUGGACGAGAGUCUGAACCAGCCAAGUAGCGUGAAGGAUGACUGCCUUAUGGGUUGUAAACUUCUUUUAUAUGGGAAUAAAAUGUUCCACGUGUGGGAUUUCGUAUGUACCAUAUGAAUUAGGAUCGGCUAACUUCGUGCCAGCAGCCGCGGUAAUGCGGAGGAUCCGAGCGUUAUCCGGAUUUAUUGGGUUUAAAGGGAGCGUAGGUGGAUUGUGAAGUCAGUUGUGAAGGUUUGCGGCGCAAACGUAAAAUUGCUGUUGAGACUGGCAGUCAUGAGUACAGUAGAGGUGGGCGGAAUGCGUGGUGUAGCGGUGAAAUGCUUAGAUAUCACGAAGAACUCCGAUUGCGAAGGCAGUUCACUGGACUGCAACUGACACUGAGGCUCGAAAGUGUGGGUAUCAAACAGGAUUAGAUACCCCUGUAGUC
rnacentral:rRNA from 1 species